CGCCAAAGGAAACUCUUGGUUACAUCUCAACGAAGAAACAAGCGGGACGUUGAUAGGAGCUUUUGUCAUCAAAGUCACCAGCGUGAACACUAGGUUUUAACAAAAUAUCAGUGGAAGAAAUGACUCAUAUUAAAUUGGAGAACCUAGAGAACAUGACUCUUGUCAACCGUGAAGCGCUCCCUGCCGGUUCUUAUACGCAAGAGGUUCGACGCCAGUCAGACACCGAGUUCACAGAAAUGGAUUACGUUGACUCUGACAUGUCUGUUUUGUCACAGUUUCACGAGGACGCCAUCUCUCAGGCAGGGUUUGGAAGAUUUCAGUGGAUUGUGUUUAUGAUCCUUGGGUUAGGAUUAGCUGCUGAUUCCAUUGAAGUCUUGGUGAUAGCUUAUAUCCUUCCCAGUGCUGAAAGAGAGCUCUGCAUGGAAGCUUCACAGAAAGGAUGGCUAGUGGGGAUAUCUUUCUUGGGAAUGAUGAUAGGAGGGCUUGUAUGGGGAAUUCUUGCGGACAAAAUUGGCCGCAGGAGGACGCUACUGUCUGCUCUUUCGGCUAAUGCAAUAUUUGCAUUAAUUACCGCCUUCAUGCCUACCUACGGUUUAUUUAUGUUGACCCGACUCUGCAGUGGUAUUGGAGUAGGCGGAUCUCUUCCGAUUGUGUUCACAUACUAUAGUGAAUUUCUAAUCAGAAGGCAUAGAGGGCGCCAUCUCAGCUGGUUGCUGAUAUUUUGGGGUGUAGGUGGCGUAUUUGUCGCCCUCAUGGCAUGGGCAAUAAUACCUCGAACAGGUUUUACUAUUCUUCUGUCAGAGAAACUUCACUUUGCAAGCUGGCGAAUCUUUUUGGUAAUAUGUGCCCUUCCUGCUGUCAUAUCUUCAAUUGGACUGUUUUUUCUUCCAGAGAGUCCAAGAUUUCUUUUGGAGAAAGGACGUGACGGUGAAGCAAUGGUCAUUUAUCAAAACAUCUUCAAAACCAACCAUGCUCACUCACCAGGAUCAGAGUACCAGCUUUCUGACAUGGAAAUGCCAACAAGACAACUGUUUACCAUCCCUUUGCCGACCAGGAGAGGUCUUCUUGCGGAAUUAAUCGAUGCCUUAGAUUCAUUCUGGAAUUCUCUGAUGCAGAUCGUUUGUCGUCCUUACACUCGAAUAACUGCGGUGUUACUCGUGGUUUGGGUAACAACUGCUUUUGGCUUUUACGGGAUGUCCAUUUGGUUCCCAGAAUACAUCAAGAAGAUUACAGUGGACGAGUUUCGUGCCCGAGCUUCUAGUGAGGUCAACAAGACUAUCCACAACACAGUAUUCAAUAACACCAUGGAAAAUAUCCAUUAUUAUAACACUUACUUCGAAAAUGUACGUUUUGAGGACAUGGUGCUGAGCCACUGUACGUUUACCAAUUGUACAUUUCUAAAUUGUACGUUCAGUGAUGUACGCUCCAGUAAAACGUUCUUUCGCCGAACUGAAUUCUACAGUGCUUACUUCUACGAUACUGAUUUCCAUGAAUAUCGAUUUCAGGAUUGUAACUUGGAGAAUUCUCAUUUUAUCAGCACGACGGCUGGUUGCACCAUCGACUUUGAUAUCAACUACAACCUCCAAACAGUAUUUCUCGAGAAUCUCUUCGCUCAGAUGGCUAUCAUCCCAGGCAAUAUUUUGUCUUCUUAUGUUAUUGACCGUCUUGGAAGAGUGAAAACCAUGGCUUCUUCGUUGUUCCUGACUAGUUUGAGUGCUUUCUUUAUCUGGUUCUUGGAUACUAAAGCUUCUGUCAUUGGGUUUGAAGCUGUUUUCAACUUCAUUUCAAUCUCUGGAUGGAACGCUUUGGAUGUUAUUACAACUGAGUCUUACUGCGCAACUCUCAGAACUACAGGAUAUGGUUUUCUGAGUGCGAUUAGUCGCUUUUCGGCCAUUCUUGGAAGCCUGACGUUCGCAAACUUCAUCAACAUUAGCAAAGCAGUGCCCAUGCUGACCACCGCCAUUGUUCUUUUUACUGGAUGUCUAAUUGCUUUCAAGUUGCCCGAAACUAAAGAUACACUUAUGUGAUGUGGGUAUGGAAAAUUUGUUCCACUUGUGUCAAGUUCCGGAUUGUACUUACUACGUGUUCUGCAGUCACUCCUCUUCAGUGAAGGGAGAAGGAGAUCUGAUGGGAUGGCCGGAAUUUUGUCACCUGAAACAAAACUUACGAUAAUAUAUGAACAACACUCUUAAAUUACAGUGGGAUAUGUGGUGGGCAAUACUGCAGAAAAUUUUAGUUAAAGAAAACUUUUAAUUUCCAAACUGAUUUUUUUCUCGAAGAAUGAAAUCCCAAUAUGGUGAUUGAUAUCUUUAUCUUCUCGGUGUAUAUUGGUGAAUUACGAUAUAAAAUAGUGUUAAUAUAAAAUAAAAUUAACAAAUUUAGGCUUUCAAGAGAGAGGUUUAACAGUUGAUUCCGGUCUUGGUAAUUUAAUUUAUAAAACAAAAACAAAUCGUUUAGAAGCCAAUAUAUUAUUGUAAGUCUUAAAUAGCUAUGGGAAAACUCGACAUUGUUUAUAAUAUAAUUGUUAAUAAAGUUACUGAAUGAUGUUACAUUCCCCACACCUGAUUGUGUGGAAGUUGUUAAAGUCUCCUACAAAUAAUUUACAAAUUGAUAAAGAAAACAAAACAAUAAUCCCGUUUUUUACUCAAUGUGCUUGUGUUUUAGGUUUUAUCAUUAAAUUUUUAAUAUAUUUAUUGUUUAAAUCGUAGAACCCACCACUCUAGUCUUGUGUUAUUUUUUAGCGUCUACUCUAUGUUUUACAGGUAUCAGGUUCUUAUAAUGUGCCACUUGCCAUCUAUGUUAUUGUAAAACAAACUCGGAAAAGGCCAAGGACUUGCUUUAAUUAUAACAAAUUCACCAGUGUGUAAAACAUUCAAGCUCAUGUGCCAUAAAAUAAAAGUUUGUGUUUAAUUAUAUAAAUAAAAAACAUAACUCCUGGCUGUGGAAAACUCUGUAAAAUUCAUUCAGAAACAUAUUUUGUUAUGUAUAGUGCUUAUAAUUAUUGUUGUUUAGAGAUUUCUAAUUAGCGUAUGGUAUCAGUAUAUGAUAUCAUGAUAGUGAUUUAAUCAGCUAUUUCUAUUGAAUAACUAAAUACUAAAAUGAUUUAAUUCAUUGUUGCAAGCAAUCGUGUGAAUUAUGUUUGCAAUCAAAAUUAUAAUAGUAUUGUUUCAGUUGAUAAACCGUUGGAGGUCGCUGAAUACCAUGAGUCCUAAACAAUGUUUACUUUAAACAAAUUAGUCAAAAUUUAUUUAUUUAUUUAUUUUUACAUUAUUACAUUAUUUAUAAAUUAUUUUGAAAUAUGAUGAUAAAUGAUUUAAUCCUGAAAGGUAAGUUGCUUUACAACGCACAGUUUCAAUAACACUAAUAAUGUAUUCGCUUCCCGUUUGCGAAUUUAUUUUCUUGUAAUAUGUUUAUUUUUCGUUUAAAUUUACAAGAAUUAACGUGUGUAAUGCUUUUAUUGUAUCCAUUAAGAAAGGUUUACCAGGUAUUUGAAUUCCAACUUUUUAUUAUAUAUCUUUAUAUGUUUUCUUUUUCGAUAUUUAUCUUUACUAAUGUUCGUCUUUCUGGUGCCAAGUGCAUUUCAGAUGUGCAAAAUAGAUUUGAAAUUCUGUUUUCGUAGUUGUUAUAUUGUGAAGCAUUUUUCAAUGUACAUUCCUGACAGUGUUCAUAGUAAGUGUGGUAAAAGUGUGAACAAUUUGGAGUUAUUAUUUAUGUUUUACAUUACUUGUUCGUGUGCCACAUGUAAACAUUAAAUUACAAGUGGAUAUUACAGAAAGGCUAUUAGUAUGAAACAGCUGGUAGUCUAAACUAGGUUAUGCUCAUUGUUGUCUUUCAUUUAUAUUCUUAGCAUGACUUUACAAACUUAAUUUAUGCAUUUUAAUUCAUUCCAUAUUAUUUAUUGUAUGAAUAUAUAAUAUUUUUUGUUAUAUUUGUCGUAAUAACCACAGCCAACAUUGCUCACGUUUAUUGUAAUAAUUACAAGGAUAGCCGUUCUGUGUGAAAACAUAUCUCGACUUAUUGAAAUCAUUUACCUAUGCAUCAAGAAGAAAUUAACAAAACGCAUAUGCAAAUUAUAACUGUGCAAAUUAAUAAAAUGCACGUACAAGUUGCAACUGAACAAACUAACACAACCCAAACGUAAGGUGUGACUGAACAAACUUACACAAUUCAAACAUAAGGUGUGACUGAACAAACUAACACAACCCAAACGUAAGGUGUGACUGAACAAACUUACACAAUUCAAACGUAAGGUGUGACUGAACAAACUAACACAACCCAAACGUAAGGUGUGACUGAACAAACUAACACAACCCAAACGUAAGGUGUGACUGAACAAACUAACACAACCCAAACGUAAGGUGUGACUGAACAAACUAACACAAUACAAAUGUAAGGUGUGACUGAACAAACUAACACAACCCAAACGUAAGGUGUGACUGAACAGACUUACACAAUUCAAACGUAAGGUGUGACUGAACAAACUAACACAACCCAAACGUAAGGUGUGAUUGAAAAAAAUUACAAAGUGCAUGUUCAAAAUGUAACUGAACAGAUUAACCUCCCUCAGAAUCUAAUCGUUUAUUAAACGAGGCUUUGAGCAAAAAAUGCUCUGUUAUAAUUUAGGGUUUUCUACAUAUGUUUAUUAUAUCGAGUUUAGACAUUAAACAAGAAUAACAGUUGCUGUGAUUUUACUCAACUGCUAUUUAGAUGUAGUCUAAAAUAAAUUAUGACUGGGUGACACUUACUGUGCGUGAUAAAAUUUAUUUUUAUCCAGACCAGUGAGUUUGAAAACAUUGCAAUUUGAGAGGUCUGUUCUAAAGAAUUAUAUAGAACAAGUGUUCGUUUCCAAUAUUUAAUCUUGACGAAUUUAGUCUGUGAUCCUAGGCGUGAUUCAUUGUCGUCUUUAAUUAAAUAUAAAAACCUUACAUACAUGUAAACAGAAAUAUGAAUUAUUCUCAGCACAUUAGUCAAAAUAAUGAUACUUAACAACUAUAGUAAAUUAAUUUUUAGAUUUUAUGGAAGGAAAGUAAUGAAAUACUGCCCUAUCAUAAUGUGUAUGAUGUAUUCUAUUAUAUUUUAAAUGUUCUUAUUUUUCAUUUUGAAUGCUGUGGAUAACCUACUUUUACGUACAAAAUAAAUUUUAUUUAGCAUUAUAAAAUAGAAGCACAAAUUUAAUAUAUUUAACAAUGUAAAAACCAGCCCCACAGUGGCAUAGCGGCACGUCUGUGGACUUACAAUGCUAGAAACCGGCUUUAGAUACCCGUGGUGGGCAGAGCACAGAUAGAUAAUGUAGAGCUUUGUGCUUAAUUACAAACAAACAAUGUAAAAACGUAAAAUUUAACACAUAGUUAAAACUGUGGUAGAAGCAGCAUAACGCUUAGCCUUUUGGGUUUCUUUUUUUUUUUGAUUAACAGUGGAUAAGCAUUUUUGUGUAGUAAAGACAAAAAGUGUGUUUGUAGCUAAGCGCAAAGCUACACAAUGGGCUAUCUGUGUUCUGCCCACCACAGGUAUCGAAACCCGGUUUCUAGCGUUUUAUGUACGCAGGCGUACCGCUGUGCCACUGGAGGGCAAAGAGAAAAAGAAAAAUUACCUUGAUAGUUCUCAACUUUAUUUACAUAUAUUUUUAUACAUUGCCUAAGUUGAAAAAAUUACCCAUUUUGUAAGGUUGCGGAAACCUUUUAAGAUAUCUUAAAUUACGUAUUUGUUUAGUUAACCCUAAAAUAACUGUGCAUUGAAGAAAAAAUAUAUAUUAAUUUGUUUCUUAAAUAAUAUAUUUAUUUUAUUGUUGUUAAAUAAUGAGACUUUAUGAAAAACUGGAUGGUCUAAUAAUAUUAUAAAUAAUUAUCUCUUCAAAUCUGAUUUUUCGGUGUAGUAAAGCUUUGAAAUUUCUUUUAAACACUUAAUUUCGCAGUUUUUCUCGUAAAGUAAAUAUAUUUUUUUGAAAUAUUGAAAUUCUUAGAUAAACAUUAGCAUCAUUUAUUUGACAAAGUAUAUUACUGACUGUUUACCUAAAGUUUAAAGUUGUAUAACUAUGGAAGAAUAUCAAUGAUACUUCUGGUACGUUAUGCCGAGAUAGUAAUGUAUCGAGAUAGAAGUACUUUAAGCAUGUAAAUGUCAAAAUAACAUCUUGCAAUCUAAUUAAAUUAAUGUAAUUUCUUUCUUGUUGAAUAAAAGCAGUUAAUAUGUAUACUUCA
rnacentral:misc_RNA from 1 species